rnacentral:lncRNA from 1 species
UUAGGUAUACAUGUAUUAUUUAUGUAACAGAUAUUGUGCUGAGCAUUUUACAUCUAUUAUCUCAUAUAAUCUUUACAGUAACAUUGCAAAGUUGAUUCUAUUAUUUUCAUCGAUGAAAAAACUGACAGAGAGGUUAAUGUAACCCAUCUGUGGUUACACAUCUAGAAAGUCUUGGAGCUGAAACGGAAACUCAGGGCGUUCUGGCUGUAAUGCCCAUUCUCUUAAUAACCAUGAUAAAUGACAUACUUUUAAGAAUCACCACGUCCGGCUAAUUUUUUGUAUUUUUAGUAGAGACGGGGUUUCACUGUGUUGGCCCGGCUGGUCUGAAACGCUUGACCUCGUCAUCCAUCUGCCUCGAUCUCCCAAAGUGGGAAUAUUUUUCUUUUCUGGGCUUUCCCAUAGCUUUCGUAUAUUAUUUGUACUCUAGCAGU